rnacentral:rRNA from 1 species
GAGGGGUGUAAGCGUUAUUCGGAAUUACUGGGCGUAAAGGGUGCGUAGACGGCGCAUUAAGUCUGUUGUUAAAUUUUCCGGGCUCAACCGGGAAAGCUGCGGUGGAAACUGAUGUGCUAGAGAAUGAGAGAGAGAAGUGGAAUUCCCGGAGUAGCGGUAAAAUGCGUGGAUCUCGGGAGGAACACCAAUGGCGAAGGCAGCUUCUUGGCUCAUUUCUGACGUUGAGGCACGAAAGCGUGGGGAGCAAACAGGAUUAGAUACCCUGGUAGUCCACGCUGUAAACGAUAAUCACUAGACGUUAGCCUGGCUUAGCCGGGUUAGUGUCGUAGCUAACGCGUUAAGUGAUUCGCCUGGGGACUACGAUCGCAAGAUUA